rnacentral:lncRNA from 1 species
CCUGGAGUGAUUUUUUUUUUCCAGCCCCACCCCAACCCUGCUAGUCGAAGAAAGUCCAAAGAAAAACUGUCAGUCUCGCUAGUGAGAAGUGUUUGCAUUUGUGGCCCGAACUAAUUGUCUGGAUCUGAAAGGCCCGCCGACCCUGUUAUUGUUUGCAUUUCUGCCGCUUGCAGGAGCAUUUCCGGUUUUUCCGGAGCAGCUCAUCGAUCACUCGACCAGAGGGGAGUAGGAAUGGGAAAAAAAAAUGUAUUCCUGGCUGGUGCUUGAGGAAGGGAAACUGCCACCCUCGAUCAUCGCAUUUUCCUGGAUUACUUCGUUAUUACUUUUGCAGAGGAGGAGGUGUU